UGUAUGUAUGUGUGCAUGGACAUAUGUGUGUGCAUGUGUGUACACACAUGUAUGUAUGCAC
rnacentral:miRNA from 1 species